UACGUAGGGUGCGAGCGUUAAUCGGAAUUACUGGGCGUAAAGCGUGCGCAGGCGGUUUUGUAAGCCAGAUGUGAAAUCCCCCGGGCUUAACCUGGGAAUGGCAUUUGGGACUGCAAGGCUCGAGUGCGGCAGAGGAGACUGGAAUUCCUGGUGUAGCAGUGAAAUGCGUAGAUAUCAGGAGGAACACCGAUGGCGAAGGCAGGUCUCUGGGCUGACACUGACGCUCAUGCACGAAAGCGUGGGAGCGAACA
rnacentral:rRNA from 1 species